rnacentral:lncRNA from 1 species
UGAACUUUUCUACAGUUUUUAUACUGACUCUGUUAAUUAUACGGUAUUAUUCAGAAGAGGCCAUAAAAAUCACUGUGCCUAAUUCUAACAAAUUAAUGGCUUUUAAAGGAUGACAAGGUGACUUGUUCCUUGUGACCUCUUGUCAGGUGUGGGUAAUGGUUUAUUAAAAUGGAACGGAACACUACAAAAGCAAUUUUUUUUCUCUUUUGCCUACUAAAAAUUUUUUCUUCCUCAAUUCAGGAACCAAGUUAGAAAAUAAUUUUGGGUAGACUUUGUGGAACUUUCUUAAAUGUAAGCCUGGAAGAUCACAGUGCUUCGCUCAGUGUUAGUAAUUGGUCUGGGGAUUCUGGCUUGCCAUUACUCUAAGGAGGGAUAAGAUUGGAUGAAUAUGAGAAAAAAGGGAAGAAAAAUGUUACAAGUCUGUGAAGAGAUUUUCAUAAGAGGCAAGAGAUGCAAACAUUUGAAAGAAGGAAAAAGGAAGAUGUAAACCCAACUUCCCAACCCAAAGGUCUAAGACACCUUAAGUUGGAGGAACUUCUCCAAAGAAAGGGAGAAUGAGUCUUUGAGCAGAAAGGAAGGAUGCUGGUUCCUCAGGGACAUGACACAGGUGGCUACAGCUCUCACCAUCUGCUUUGAACCCUCUCUCCAGUCUGCUCUCCCGAAUUUCUCUGCCUUUGGCAUCAUUGCUUGGACGCUUUCUCUCCGCCUGGCCCCAGCAGAUUGAUUACCUAUUUGGACAGUCUUCUGUUCUUUGGACAAUCGCCGUGACAUGUGCUGCUUCUCAAAUUACCCUAAUGGCAACUGUGACCAGCAGUGAGUGGGGGCCCGUCUUCCAACAAAGCUCCCAGGACUCUCACUGUGCCUGCUUGAGGAGGGGUGUUGAGAGUUCACGGUGUGUUCUUAUGUUAAGC